rnacentral:rRNA from 2 species
AGAGUUUGAUCAUGGCUCAGAUUGAACGCUGGCGGCAGGCCUAACACAUGCAAGUCGAGCGGUAGCACAGAGAGCUUGCUCUCGGGUGACGAGCGGCGGACGGGUGAGUAAUGUCUGGGAAACUGCCUGAUGGAGGGGGAUAACUACUGGAAACGGUAGCUAAUACCGCAUAACGUCGCAAGACCAAAGUGGGGGACCUUCGGGCCUCAUGCCAUCAGAUGUGCCCAGAUGGGAUUAGCUUGUAGGUGGGGUAACGGCUCACCUAGGCGACGAUCCCUAGCUGGUCUGAGAGGAUGACCAGCCACACUGGAACUGAGACACGGUCCAGACUCCUACGGGAGGCAGCAGUGGGGAAUAUUGCACAAUGGGCGCAAGCCUGAUGCAGCCAUGCCGCGUGUGUGAAGAAGGCCUUCGGGUUGUAAAGCACUUUCAGCGGGGAGGAAGGCGAUAAGGUUAAUAACCUUGUCGAUUGACGUUACCCGCAGAAGAAGCACCGGCUAACUCCGUGCCAGCAGCCGCGGUAAUACGGAGGGUGCAAGCGUUAAUCGGAAUUACUGGGCGUAAAGCGCACGCAGGCGGUCUGUCAAGUCGGAUGUGAAAUCCCCGGGCUCAACCUGGGAACUGCAUUCGAAACUGGCAGGCUAGAGUCUUGUAGAGGGGGGUAGAAUUCCAGGUGUAGCGGUGAAAUGCGUAGAGAUCUGGAGGAAUACCGGUGGCGAAGGCGGCCCCCUGGACAAAGACUGACGCUCAGGUGCGAAAGCGUGGGGAGCAAACAGGAUUAGAUACCCUGGUAGUCCACGCCGUAAACGAUGUCGAUUUGGAGGUUGUGCCCUUGAGGCGUGGCUUCCGGAGCUAACGCGUUAAAUCGACCGCCUGGGGAGUACGGCCGCAAGGUUAAAACUCAAAUGAAUUGACGGGGGCCCGCACAAGCGGUGGAGCAUGUGGUUUAAUUCGAUGCAACGCGAAGAACCUUACCUGGUCUUGACAUCCACAGAACUUUCCAGAGAUGGAUUGGUGCCUUCGGGAACUGUGAGACAGGUGCUGCAUGGCUGUCGUCAGCUCGUGUUGUGAAAUGUUGGGUUAAGUCCCGCAACGAGCGCAACCCUUAUCCUUUGUUGCCAGCGGUCCGGCCGGGAACUCAAAGGAGACUGCCAGUGAUAAACUGGAGGAAGGUGGGGAUGACGUCAAGUCAUCAUGGCCCUUACGACCAGGGCUACACACGUGCUACAAUGGCAUAUACAAAGAGAAGCGACCUCGCGAGAGCAAGCGGACCUCAUAAAGUAUGUCGUAGUCCGGAUUGGAGUCUGCAACUCGACUCCAUGAAGUCGGAAUCGCUAGUAAUCGUAGAUCAGAAUGCUACGGUGAAUACGUUCCCGGGCCUUGUACACACCGCCCGUCACACCAUGGGAGUGGGUUGCAAAAGAAGUAGGUAGCUUAACCUUCGGGAGGGCGCUUACCACUUUGUGAUUCAUGACUGGGGUGAAGUCGUAACAAGGUAACCGUAGGGGAACCUGCGGUUGGAUCACCU